rnacentral:rRNA from 1 species
UGGCGGACGGGUGAGUAAUGUCUGGGAAACUGCCUGAUGGAGGGGAUAACUACUGGAAACGGUAGCUAAUACCGCAUAACGUCGCAAGACCAAAGAGGGGGACCUUAGGGCCUCUUGCCAUCGGAUGUGCCCAGAUGGGAUUAGCUAGUAGGUGGGGUAAAGGCUCACCUAGGCGACGAUCCCUAGCUGGUCUGAGAGGAUGACCAGCCACACUGGAACUGAGACACGGUCCAG